GGUCAGUGCCCAAGUCGCUAUAGAGUAUAGGACUUAUGUAGAUAUAAGAUAAUCCAUCCUUUUAGGAUGGGCUGACGGUUCCGUACUCCCUUCACUCUUUUAGUUUAGGGUGGGGAAGACUUCGUACCUUCCUUUACGUAGGCUAAGCUAGCGGAUCAGAGAGAGAAGCCUGAGUUCCAGCUCUUGGAAAAAGUUCAGUAAAGUCAGUAGAGCUAGUCCUUUUAUUUAUUUAAAAUAGCUAUUCUGAUCUAUCAAUUUAUAAGUAGUCAUUUAUAUAAAGCCAGGUACGAAUGGAGCUUAGUUGUUUUUCAUGCUUUCUUGCUAACCAUUGAUCAUUUAUGGUUGAAAUCGCAAACUCUUUAGAGUUUGGGAGAGAGACCUCCUACCUUUCCAAGUCAAGAUAGGGAAGUAAAGUAGAGUGGAGAAUCAUCCGAUACCGCUGCCUUCAUCCCAGCGCUGUCCUAAUAGCGAUAUGCUUAAGAGAGGGAAGUCGUGUUCGUAAACUCACCCUUACUUUUGGAACUUUAGUCUCUUUACCUUUCCCAGCUUAGAGGCAUGUAGCGAAGACUUAGUGACUCCCCAAGGCAUGAGUCAAAGAAAAUGCUAUAUGUAUCUAAUGCAAGACCCAUCGAUAAGCUAAGGCUACGACAUGAAGAAAGGCCAGAAGAACUACAGAACCACGCCCACCAGAGCUAAAGAAAGAUAGACCGAAGGGACUUGCGGUAAGCCGCCAUUUUGUGUACGUACCGUCCCUUCGCAGUUUCGGUGAGGAGGGAGGUGGUUACUAUUAUGCCUAGCGAAAAUAAGCCGGGCAGGAUUUGAAAGAAGACCUAAAAUAAAAAGCCUGCGUCUUCAAGUCACUCUUACAUAUACUUAUCAUACGAAUAAGAGAAGAGCACCUACACCUACGACUAAGAAGACAACAAGUUCAUCAUCAACCGGAAGACAGACACGAAAGAGACAGAGAUUAGUGAGCGGAGGUGAUAGACCCAAGAAAAAGAGGAGAGGCGGAGGGCAUACUCGAGAUCAGUGACUAUAGACCAGAAGCCACUAACUAUGGUUAUUAGUUGCCGAAGCUGAAGGCUCUGAAAGAGGCGACCAACGAAAAAGUGUACCAUUAGCUUCUUCUCUUCUGUCUGUUCUUCCUGCCUUUGACUACGAACCCAACAAAAAGUCAAGUGCAAGAACCAGAGCAGGAUUUCAAACCAGUUUCAGUUUUCCAGGCUCGACCUAUGGGUAAGAGCGUAGUCUACAAAGCGAAAGGUACUACGUUCCUCUCCUUUCAGUCGAUCGUACUUUGGUCGUUCAUCUGAUCUGUUUAAUGAAUAUCUCUUUCUUUCUUCUCCGGGGAGUAAGCAAAGCAUUCUGUCUUAGGAGAACCCUUACCCUUAGGCUGAGUAAGAAGUCUUGCCUUAGUAAGUGACGGUCUGGUAAGCAUGGGCAAGCCUGAGAUGCCUGUGUUUGCUUUCCAUAGAAAAUAUGCCUUCGGCUUGUGCUUUGGAGAGUCUGUCUCUUGUUUAGUACCCCCGAACUCCCUUUUCUUUUCACAUUCUCUUUGAUAGUUAGAAAAGAAAAAGCACGAGAAGGAAGAGAAGAAAAGUCAAAGUUGUAGGCCCUUUUUAAACAAAGAUUCAGCCGUGGUCUCGAAGAUGGCGCCCUUUCGUGGUCUCUUUUUCUAUUCUUUUUUUUUUUUCAAGCCGCAAUUGAAAUCCAUUUUCUUUCUAGUAAGCUAGGGCUUAGUAAGCAAAUCAAAGGAGUCGUCAAGCUGGGGCAAGUCAAGUUAGUUUUUAGCAGUCUCGUGAAGCAGUCUCAGCGAGGCGCUAGGUAAAAGGCAGCUAGGGCGUGAGUUUAGUUUCUUAGCACAGACAGAAAAGGUUAGGGCAGCUGGGGAAUUAGUUGAAGUUCAAGCAUCUCUUGUUUGUAAAAGGAUAAUCUCUUCCAGUCUAUCCAAUUGCAUAAGGACAUCCGGUUCUGGCAUCGAAUGGCUCUUUCUUUUUGGCUCUUCCAACUUUAGAGUUUCCUAAUUUAAGAAGUCCCUAAUCUAUUCUAUCAGUACUACUAGCGAGCUAACAUGCUAACAGUAGUUAAAAACUGGUCUUUCUCCAGCUCCCCUUUUUACCUAGCAUAAUAACUAACAGGCUUAGAAGACUAGCAGUUCUACUAAUAGGAUAAGAGUGAGUUGGAAAAGGCUAUUCUUCUCAUUCCUUCCCUUGAUCUGACAGUGCAGAGUAAGAAGGGCCUAAAGAACAUUACCAGUAAUCCGAGGCAAGCGCAUAAGAGAGCUAGCUUGUAUAAGAGUCAUAAGAGGACUAAGAAUAAGAAAGGUCCAACUCGUACUAAGGCUAUCGGUACUACUCUUCCAAAUUUCCUAACGUGGAAAAGGUAUCUACUAUGUUUACCCUUUCUAACAGAAAGACCAGCUCUCCCCUUAGUCUAAAUAGCUAGAUAAUCUCCCAGCCUUUAGUCAGGGGCAAGCUAGUUCUUUAGCAAAAUCAGUAGUCUUUCAAGCAAAGAGGGAUAGGAACUAGUUUGAGGUAUAGGUUCUCCCCGUGCUGGUACUAGAAAAAGUACUAGUGUAAAGUAGUAGGUUUGGUUACAGGAAUAAGGUAGGUUGGUUAUAGGAAACACUCUCUAGUAGUGGAGUUUCAAGCUCCUGUUUGUUUCGUUGCCUACCCUUAGGUAGUGCUUGAGCCUUAGUAUCGGGUUCUCCUUCCCGGCACUGGAUCAGUCACUAAGCGAAUGUGCAACUAUCAAACCAUCUGUUUUUCUAUUCGGUCUGUCUUCAGCAGGCCAACUAAUCUAAACUACUAAUCUACAAAACAACUAUUAGAAAAGAAGUUCCUCCCCGCUUCCAUAGCACAUAGCUAUUGAUCUCCUUACCCCAACCAGGUGCUACUCCGAUCUCGCCGCCAGUAAUGCUCGAUUCCCACCUCCCGCCUCUCCAUCCUAGCUUCAGAAAGAAUCUCACCCUUCUGCUGUCCCUGCCUCCAGCUCCAGGAACUCCUGCACCGUUCUGCGCCUUUUUGAAUGAAGCGCCUAGUUUCACCGCUUUCUUCUUACCCACGCGAGAUUGGUAUUCAGUCUGCCAAAACGAAACUAAAAAAGGGGUCUUUCUAAUUUCGUAUAUAAAUGUAAAUGUGGGUUGUCGGGUUUGGAUCGAAAUAGAAUCCCCAAAAACUGGGGCAUCCGUUUUCUACUUGUUCUGCUUCGAUAGAGGGGCUGUAAGUAGAAUAAGAAUCGUUCGCUCUUAUCCUUCCUUCGCUGCAGAUGGCGGAGCUACCACACGUUGAUUGGUGGAUUGAAUGAGAUUGAUGGGCACUAGCACAAGAGCCAUAGAUAAAUAGACAAAGAAGUUCAGCUGCCAGAGUCGAUCCUAUCCCGUAUUUACCAGCAAAAAAAUAGGGGAGUCAUCUGUCUAACGAGAAAGGAGGGGCGUCUAUCCUUCUAUAUGACCAAAAAGGCCUUGUCACGAACUGGGCUCGAACCAGCGCUUUCCAGAAACAUGGUCUGGAUGUCAACCUUUCUGAUCGUGACUUUGGUUACCCGGUUCCUCACGCUGCCCAUGAGUACGUCCGGGGGGAUUUCUCAUCAUCUUUUUUUCCCGUUUCACUCACUUCUUUUUCUUCCAAUUCAGAGAAGACUGAAGUGAAGAUUAGAAUACGAAUAAGAUAAAAAAGGCCAUCACCAAAAACCAGACGAUGGUAUAAAAAGUCAUGUAGAUGAUGGGGGAUCCCGGCGUAUUACGUCAUGGAUCCAGUGAGCGUUCAUGUCAGCAGAGUUCCACGCCUCGUUAGACAUAUAUUUCCGUAAAAAGCGGAGCAAGCCCCGGAUCCGCAUUUGCGGAUAUUAUAGGAAAACUCAUCUUCGGGCUCCCAAGAAAUGAAAAUGAGUUCUGCCCCGUACUUACCACAGAACCCCAUGCCACUACAAUAGCGCAAACAAUUUUAGAAGCUUCUCCAGAGCCUUACGAAUGUCUUUCCGAAGACGCACCUUUUCUGGGUCAUCGUCCUCCGGAGCACCAGACUGGGCGGGCCCUGGCCCGCGUGAAGUGGAGGCACCGUGCCAACCAUGUUUCCUUUCUGAAAUUUUUAUUUUUCAGUAAAAAGAUUAUUAAAAUAAUACCAAAUAAAAUGAAAAAACAAUCGGCAUGGUUCUGGGUGUAAAGCAGCUCGAUACGGAUAGUAGUAUCCAUUCUAGAUUGAAAAAACAAAGUAGGCAUCGCUCUUGACCUUGUCCUCUCCCCUUAUGCCCUAUCACUAGUGAUUACUCCCAAUCCAAAGCACCCCUUUUCCAUUCAUAGAGAAAUCCAAUCGUCAAAAUCAAUAAAAAGGCCAUCAUGGACCAAAAUCCAAACAGAUCAAUCUUGUUGAGAGAGACUGCCCAAGGAAAGAAAAAGGUUACUUCCAGAUCAAAGAUAAUAAAUAAAAUGGAAACAAGAUAAAAUCGUAUAUCGAAACGACUUCUGGCAUCACCGAAAGGGUCGAAACCACAUUCGUAGGCCGACAAUUUUUCUGGAUAGGUCGAACUAGGGGAAGCAAAUAGAAAAGGAAGACCGAGUAAGAUCAAAGAAACUAGCAGACUGAUCACUAAAUAGAUACAAAUAGGUGCAAAUUCUAACAUCACCACAGCCCACUGGGUUCAUUCGCUCUGCUCGUGGAGCGGAAUACCGGAAAAAAAAGAAAAAUCAUGAAAUAGGAAUUGCCUACCCGCUUUCCUUUCGGUCAGCUGCCCCGUGACCAACCUCACAGGUCCCACUCAAUCUUUUACACCGAUGUAUCGUACUCCCUCGACCAGGUCAUCAUAAGAAAGCAAAAUCUUUCCGAAAUGAGAGAAGGAGGGAAGGCGGGCUACAACUAACAUAAUAGCCAGCUGAGCUGAAAAAGGCUAGCUAGCUAGGCUAGCGCGCAAUGGCUUUCUCUGAUAGGGGCUCGCUUCUUCGGCGCUCCGAACAACCUAUACGACGGCUCGCUUUCUCUCAGCCACAAGUGGCUUAAGGAGUGGUCGGCCUUCCUACGUGGUCCCCCGCCCCCCUACUUUUUAAUCCAAAAGGUGCCUUUGAAUGUUGUCGUGACGCUUUGGUUACGAAGGUUACGGGGGUCUGGGUUUAUGGAUGAAUUCAGUCAGCGAAAGUCCCUCAAACUCAAUCAAUAUCAACAACAUGUCGUGACGCUUGGUUGAUUUUGUCAGAAAAGUAGGUUUCGGGGGUUCAUUGAUUAGUACACCUCUGGUGCUGGUAAGGUCGGGAUCGUGGUCGUCCAUCUCCAGUUUGCCGGCCGAUAAGAUCUCUGAGAUUGACCAGACAGCUGACUUGGUUUGGCUAUUCCUUUCUAUUGAAAAAGAGUCAGCUGUCUGCGCGAGUCACCUUCUUCUAGGCUCCGCUGGACGACACGGCAUUCUCGUUCAAAUAUAGGCCGGCCGUCCUUGUGAUGGUUCCCAAGGAUCCAAUAUGAUACCACUUAGGUCUACGUUGCCACGAUAUUGUUCUAUGUAAGCGGGCGGGCUUGUUAGAAGUUCGGCCCGGUUUUUUUUGGUGUCGUAGGGGAGGGAUUGACCUUUCUAACGCAUAUUCAGUCGUACCGGCAUGGCCCCAUUGAUUUGUUUUCGAUCGGAGCAUAAAGCAGCGCAACCCGGUUCUACUUGACUAAGCCUCGUGCUCGUCCAAGGAGGGAGUUUGCUUUACCCAACUCCCUUUUUGAUAAUAAGGCAGAAACCCCCGACCGGACAUUCAUUAGUUUCGAAUGAAGAAUGAGGAGUGCCCUGCCCCAGAUAGCACCUACUCCUAACAAAAUGAAAAGCGUGACUUUACUAAACAAGCAAGAAUAGAAAGGGCUUUUCUCGCUUGUUGCUUUCUUCGAAUCGCAUGCUUGAGCGCAAGAAUACAUAUAAAAGCUUUCCUUGAGUUUUCAAUAAAAUAAGGGGCGCCCCAUCUAUAGUGACGGGGCCUCUUUCAAUAAAGCUCGCGCUAGGCGCUCUUUUUGGCUUCCCUUAAAUCGAAUAUUUUAGAAAUUGGUAAAGACCCACCCCUUGUUUCAGUCAGAAUGAGUCCCCGGGACCCCGGGACAUUGGCUUCCGCCAACAGUGGACUAUUAAGGAUCGCAUCCCGCGCAUAUUCUACAUUAUAGCCUGCAACUGAUUCAGCUUCCGCUUCUGGGAGAUCAAACGGAGCUCGAUUAGUUUCUGCUAGACAAGAAAUGAAGAACAUAACCAAUACAGGGAACAAGGGAAUACCAGACCAUAUCUGCUUUUGCGCCAUGACAAUCUCACUCGAAUUACGGGGACCCACACAUAUUAGUACAGUAAUAAGAAUAAGACCAAUAGAGACUUCAUAAGAGACCAUUUGAGCUGCAGAUCGUAAUGCUCCUAGAAAGGCAUAUUUCGAAUAUAGAGGAGUGAAAGUUCCCAACAAUCAACUAUCAUACCCUUCUAUGAACCGUACGAGCACGUCCUCUGAAACCCCCCAUCGCGCUUACGGCUCUAUACCCCAACGUGACUUGCUCUGGCCCCGGCCCGCUCCGCACCUCGGUAAGCGGACCGUGGGAGCAUGGGGGGCGGUAUCCGCUUUUGACUGAUAUAAAAUCUCUCUUUUGUCUCUUGCCAAAAAAAUCACAAUAGAAAAAGUUGUUCUUGCCGAGAAAGUCGCGUCGGAGACAUCUUUAUCUGAGGUUGGGUCCCCCUGCGUCGACCGGCUCCUCAGAUAAAGAUGUUAGGAUUGGCCGGCUCAUCUUCGGAAUCCGAAAAUAAAACAGAGACAGAACAGAUUGUUUCAGUGACAUAUAUACGAAGAUCUUUUUCCCCUGUUUGAGGCCUCGUACGAAUCAGUUACAUGGAAUCAUGCAAAGAGGCUUGAAAGCCGGUGAACUUGACUUAUCUUAUGCGUCAUUUUCAACUGAUCAUUCCUACCGAUCCAUUCUAUUCCUUGGCUCAUCAUAAGGAUAGCUACUUAUAAGAUAAGAGGGGAAGAAGACCUGAUUCGUAUCCAUUAUGAAAUUCCAAAGAUCCUUUCCUUCUAGUCGAGCUAUCUAUCGCUCCUUGUAUGGAACUAUUACCUUAUCUUUAGAGCGUGAUUCCAAAGCCCCUGCUACCCCUCUGUCAAGUGAGCUUCAAAAGGUGAAAGUCUUAAAAAAGUGCCCUAUCGCGUAAAGCCAAGUAUGUGUGGCCCGUCUUCGUGAUUUCCCCCCUACACGCUUACCCUCUCGCGGAUGUAACCCUUUCCCUAUCGGUCGAGCUAUUUCAAAAGCAGGUUCGCCAGGACCUACUAGUGAUAGAAAGACGGAUAAUGUUUAAUGAGGGUUGGAGACAGGUUUCGAGUCGCCCAAUUCAGUUGUCACUUUGGUGGUAAAUCUAUUGCUUAAGCGGUUCUGAAAGCAGCUCGUCCGUAGUCCAGAGGUGGGUCUCGACUGACUUUCCUUUAAGAAGGUGCCUUUUUUUCGUAGCAGAAAGAGGGCUUGGGCAACUAAAUCACGUUCGUACGAAAACGAGUUGGAAUACUAUUUCCGAUAGGGAAGCCGGGAGCGAAAGCCAACAGGCGAGGGUUUUGAAUUCCAGAGUCUCAGCCGUAAGGGAACGAACUACAUAGGAUUCUCCAGCUUUUGAUCUUAGAAGGCGACCCAAGGGAGGGCUGUGACUUAUACGAGUGACCACCCCUCCCCCUAUGGUCGAGCUGCUUCGCCCCUCUCCUGACAAGGUCAGUCUCAAAGACCCAGACUCUUUCUAAUCUGUUUACAACCCACUACUCUUCGAGGUCUGUCGUAAACCCCUAUACGAGCAACUCCGUGCCUUGGACUAUCGGUCACGCCUCUUGCUAAAGGCCAUCUCUAUCUACUGAUCGGGGCUCUCUCUUUACUACCAAAAUGCCCUUUCUAGUUUUUGAUCUUGGCUCAUCAGAAGGCUUAGCUAUUCUCUCUCUUAUUUAUGUAAAUUCAUUAGAAAGACCCGUACCCUAUCCCUCUAGCUGCCGGCUUGGUGUGAAGUGAUCAUAGCCUGGGCUUAGUGGAGUCCUUACGAUAUUCUGAAAGAUCGAAUGCGACUGGGAUCACGGAAGGCUAGCGUUAUGCUUUACUCUACCUAUCGAAUCUUCAAAGCGUAAGAACUGAGCUACUUCGUUCCUUUUCAUCUUUAAUAACGUGUUCAGUUAGAAGAGCAAAUCCCCCUCUCCAACCCAAACCCAAGGGGAGCAGAAGAUAACGAAAGGGAGACUUCUAACUAAAUCAUAAGACAAGCUCCCCAUUCCAUCUAUCAUAUCAGUCGAGUCGAUCCGAUUCGUUCUUAUCUAUAGAUAACGCAAGAGAGAACUGAUGACUUCGCGGAUGGAGAGGGAUUCGAACCCCCGGUAUCCCUAAAAAUACUUCGGUUUUCAAGACCGACUCUUUCAACCGCUCAGACAUCCAUCCCCUUCGCGCUUCGCUCGCCCUAUCUAUCCGCGAGCUGGCAGGUAGGGGCUUAUCUAUGUGAUUCGCUACGCUUGCUUGCGCCUAUCGGCGGGCUCUAUUGCCUGCCGGUUAGCGAAACUUUGACGGUAGUACGAAUCGCUACGCUUCGCUUGUUUCUAUAUGAUAAUAUGCACCUACCUUGCUGCGCUCCCUGCGGAGCAAGAGAGUGAAGAACGAAUGAUCCUCCAAACAAAAAGAGUGAUCACGUCCGACGUGAGCGAGUGAGUGAAAGGCGUGGCAAGAGAGCGAGUUCAACUCGCGAACGAUCAGCAAGUGAAGUACCGAUCCUUUUGCGCCAGUUGCGAGACUGGUACUUGACGGCUCACGAGCAUAGACUAAGGUAAGGUUGCCCAUCACUCUCUCGCUCUUUUUUGAAGGCCUUUUCUUCUAUUUUCUUUCUAGUAUAGUACCAUAAGAAGACUGAACGCCCAGCUUCGCGGAGCAGCUCUCUCCCCAGCCCACAGCAUAGUGUGGAAUCUGGAUCGUUUCAUCGAGCAACAUUUCUUUUAGAUAGAAAGGUGUUCUGACUCUAUUGGAUCAAGUCAUAACCUACGCCUUCUACUAGUAUACUACUAUGGAGAGACUAAGCUCUAUUUCAGAGAUUGGGCUCUCUUACUGUGCUCCGCCCCUACUAGUAAGAAGCUCUUCCCGAGCCAGGUUCCCUGGAUCUACGUGUUCCGGGGAGGGCCUAAAUGGAUGAAUUAAGAGGCGCGCCCAGGGGGUAGACUUCAAGAGCUCUUGCUCUGCGUAUCCUCCUACUUCUUAUUCUGAGGAUGAGGAAUCAUACGAACCGCCUACUCGCCCUACCAUUCAUUCUAAAAAAAAAAUGAAAGCUGCUCGCCUUCACUAAGAAAACAAUCCCUCCCCUUCUGUUACCUAUUUUGACUCAUAUCUUCGGUAUACCGUGAUACAAGACAAGCACAGGAAAGGUGCUUCUUCCAAGCGGUCCCUCGCCCUAUUCUCUCUCAAUUGCCUAUCCUUUCUAGAUGAGGGGGAGUACCUUAGCAGUAGCUUCCAACACUUAAGAUUGACCUCCGUGAGUGCCAGAUAUGAAUGGUUUAUGAAUUUCAUACGGGACUACUUUCUUACCUAUAAAAGUUCAACCAUGACUAAAGAAACUGACCUAAGAUAGCUCUCUCUCUCAAAUACAAAUCCCAAGAAAGAGAUUCCUUGGAUAAGUGGAUAAAUUUCAUUUCAAUUUGAAUUUAAGGCGUUUGUCCUACUUAUAUUAUAGUAUAAAUGUAUAAAUCAGUCUUCCAGCCUAUCGAAAUUCGUGUUUUUCUCCACCAACAACACAUGCACUUUGUUGGCACUCACUCACUCAAAAAAAAGGUUAUUCAAUCCACUAGUGCAACUGAAGGUGCGUAGCCUCUUCUGAACCGAAACAAGAAAGAACUCAUAACCACUGCUUGUGAACAGCUCUCCUCAACUGAAGGCGCACCUACUGUUACUAGAAGUCUAGUCUCUCUCAGGUCCAGUUUCGAUCUCGAACUUACUUACUUUACUUAAUAGGCCGGAAGAGAGAUUAUUCAGAAAACCCGAUUUCCUGUCCUGUCUUAAGAACCUGACUCAAAAGAGAAAAGAAGACCGGACUAAAAGAGAUAUCACUUUUUCACUUUUAUAUCCAGAUUGGAACUGGAUUUUAACGUCUUUGGAUCCUGAGCCGGCUCCACUUUCCGGAAUCCUUGCUCCUGGCUUAUAUUCACAUAGGCCACUCAUAAGAAUAAGACGUUCAACUCCCUAAAACACGUAUAAUUGAGAGACUCAUAAUCUCAUUGGGUAAAUGCCUACCUUCGGGAGAAUCUUACCGAACGAGUUGUGACCCUGUCCUCUUCGCUUCCCAAGAUAUUUAGGGAAAAGGGCCGUCGUCGGCCACCGCUUGCUGACGACGGAACGCAUCGUCAAUUAAAAGUCCUCGCGUUGGACUUAGUUGGAAGGGUAGGUGUUCGGCAUGUCCCUUGCUUGCGAACUUAUAGGGCGGGUUUGGGGAUCCCAUUCCUCACGUUUCCCGUUGUCCCCAGACUUCAUUCUUUCAACACUUGUAUACUUUCUUAAUAGUCAGGCGUGUCCCUGUCUCUGUCUCUAACAAGUGUGUGUGAUCCACCGAUUUACUGAGUGACUCUUUCUUACCGCCCAUCUCUUAAAUUAAAGCCUUAUCAGACUUCCGAUCCUUUUUGCCGAUUGAAGAAUUUUAUGGUUUCACGAGAAAAAGCCCGGUGCUUUCUAAAAGCCUAAAUACAAUCAAACGUGAGCGCUAACAUUCGCGCAGCUCAAGGAGUUGCUUGUUGCUUUCGAGCCGGAGCUUGCUGGGUAGUCAAGUAGUCCGUGAAGGUUAAAUCACACUUGUGUUAAACAAGCAGAGUAGUCAAGCCAGAGAGGCAAAAAAAAGCAAGAAGCGGCGAUCGACGAAAUCAAUCGUACUUUCACUGCUGUGGACCGGCUUUCAUAAAGCACCUUUGGGCAGCUGCUACUA